CACUAUCUGAAGACCCGCCCAUAAAUUCUGUCUGAGUUGUGAACGAGCGCCAUUGUAGAUAGUAUCAUGGAGAGAAGAUACGAAGAGGUGAUCGCUUUCCUCACUACAAAUGUGUACCCAACACAAUAUAAUACAACUGAACGUCAAAACUUGAGGUGAUACUCUUCGGAGUCACAGACAGGACGAUGGGAAGUCGCUCCUAGAGGAGGAGAGAGAAGACUGCAAACCCUGCUGACAAACUCCAGCUGGCCCAGGACGAAGCCACGGCAUAAAGCUUGUUUUAUUUCCAAUUAGUAAUGGACAGGUUCUUAAAAUUUAUAAUUCU